UAGUGUUGCAAAACUAGCGGAUGAGCUGUGGAUAGGGGUGAAAGGCUAAACAAACUUGGAAAUAGCUGGUUCUCUCCGAAAACUAUUUAGGUAGUGCCUCAAGUAUUACCGUCGGGGGUAGAGCACUGUUUUGGCUAGGGGGUCAUGGCGACUUACCAAACCAAGGCAAACUCCGAAUACCGACGAGUACAGCUUGGGAGACAGAGCACCGGGUGCUAACGUCCGGACUCAAGAGGGAAACAACCCAGACCGCCAGCUAAGGUCCCUAAAACGGGCUAAGUGGGAAACGAAGUGGGAAGGCUAAAACAGUCAGGAUGUUGGCUUAGAAGCAGCCAUCAUUUAAAGAAAGCGUAAUAGCUCACUAGUCGAGUCGGCCUGCGCGGAAGAUGUAACGG
rnacentral:rRNA from 1 species